UUUUUAUUCUCUCUAGUAGCAAUUUUGAUGGGACGUCAGUUCAUACAGAGUAAAAAAAAAUAGCUUUAAAUAGUGUUUCUGCAAGUGAACAGUGGUAUUGAUCUCUCAAAUUAGUCAGUUGUAGAACAAGAUAUCGAGUUUUAAAAAAAAAUUCGUUUGCGAAGUAAAUAUACCGAGUUUUAUCUUUCUCUUUAAAAAUCUUUCAAUAAUGUAACAAAAAAAAACUUUCUAUACAGUGAGUGCAUAUGCAACUAUGGGAGUAAUUCUUCUUUUCAUUUUCAAAGUUAAACAAGUCAAUGCAUUCCUCUUAUAAUUACUACUAAUGUUACAUUUUCUACACACAAGUUGCCAAAGACUACUAGGAGAAGACCAACAUCAUAUCAAUCCUUCUUGACAGUUUCCAAGAAACUCAGCAUAUGGACCCUUCUUGAGAGUUUGGUAGUAAUUUAGAAACUCGGCUAUAAAUAGAGCUGAAUCUCACUCCAAUUCAAACACCCAACAAACACAUAAACAUAUCUAAUUUUUCUUUCAUAUCAUGGCACUUUCCAAGAAUUUUAUCAUCCUAUUUGGAAUUGUCUUUACUCUUCUCCUCUACAUUUCAUCAAAUGCAGCGUUAGCUUCACGUCAAUUGUAUCAAUUGUCUGAUGAAGAAAGUCGUUGCAAUAAUCCUAGAGCAACUAUAAUUGUGGGAUGUGGCAGCCCGCCUGUCAAGAGAUCGUCACCUGUCAAGAGAUCGCCGCAUUCCAAGGAUCCACCGAGCCAACGUACCCCUUGCAAAGGAUGCUAGUAAAACGAGUCGAACAUGUAUCCGCCGAGCAAGCGUACCCCUUGGGACCGAGGGAGUACUAGUUUAUUAUUAAGAUGUAAUAAUAAUAAGGCAUGCAAUGUAACAUGCUAGCUUUCUUGUUUGUGUAUGUUAUGUGAAAGUUUCCAUGUAUUAUGUACGGAGUACUGUUUUGAAUGAAUAAAUUAUAGGAUAAUUGUUUACCCCAA